GACGAACGCUGGCGGCGUGCUUAACACAUGCAAGUCGAACGGAAAGGCCCUGCUUUUGUGGGGUGCUCGAGUGGCGAACGGGUGAGUAACACGUGAGUAACCUGCCCUUGACUUUGGGAUAACUUCAGGAAACUGGGGCUAAUACCGGAUAGGAGCUCCUGCUGCAUGGUGGGGGUUGGAAAGUUUCGGCGGUUGGGGAUGGACUCGCGGCUUAUCAGCUUGUUGGUGGGGUAGUGGCUUACCAAGGCUUUGACGGGUAGCCGGCCUGAGAGGGUGACCGGCCACAUUGGGACUGAGAUACGGCCCAGACUCCUACGGGAGGCAGAAGUGGGGAAUAUUGCACAAUGGGCGGAAGACUGAUGCAGCAACGCCGCGUGCGGGAUGACGGACUUCGGGUUGUAAACCGCUUUCGCCUGUGACGAAGCGUGAGUGACGGUAAUGGGUAAAGAAGCACCGGCUAACUACGUG
rnacentral:rRNA from 1 species